AGUGAACGCUGGCGGUAGGCCUAACACAUGCCAGUCGAACGGCAGCACAGUAAGAGCUUGCUCUUACGGGUGGCGAGUGGCGGACGGGUGAGGAAUACAUCGGAAUCUACUUUUUCGUGGGGGAUAACGUAGGGAAACUUACGCUAAUACCGCAUACUACCUACGGGUGAAAGCAGGGGAUCUUCGGACCUUGCGCGAUUGAAUGAGCCGAUGUCGGAUUAGCUAGUUGGGGGGGUAAACGCCCACCAAGGCGACGAUCCGUAGCUGGUCUGAGAGGAUGAUCAGCCACACUGGAACUGAGACACGGUCCAGACUCCUACGGGAGGCAGCAGUGGGGAAUAUUGGACAAUGGGCGCAAGCCUGAUCCAGCCAUACCGCGUGGGUGAAGAAGGCCUUCGGGUUGUAAAGCCCUUUUGUUGGGAAAGAAAAGCAGCAGGUUAAUACCCCGCUGUUCUGACGGUACCCAAAGAAUAAGCACCGGCUAACUUCGUG
rnacentral:rRNA from 1 species